AAGCUCGUAGUUGAAUUUCGGGGUUCUACCGUUGGUCGGGCUAACAAGUCUGUACUAGCGUGUAGAAUCCCUACCUUCUGGGGAACCAUCAUGUUAUUAAUUUAGCGUGGUGGGAAACCAGGACCUUUACCUUGAAAAAAUUAGAGUGUUUAAAGCAGGCGUACGCUUGAAUGCAUUAGCAUGGAAUAAUGGAAUAGGGCUGCUGCCCCAUUUUGUUGGUUUCUGGGACCGUAGCAAUGAUUAAUAGGGAUAGUUGGG
rnacentral:rRNA from 1 species